GAACCGGAGAGGCGAAAAGACCGAACUCAACUGGGAAAAAUUGUACUGGGAGCUGGAAAGAAUAAUGAAACCAUGAAACCUGAAUGAUUGAAGUCGAGCCCGACUAGGCCAUCGUGGCGUUGAUUGGUGGAUUCCCUCUUCAGCACAAUGAAGCAAAGACAAGAUUAAAAAAAGCAAAAAAAAAAAGAAAAGAAAAGAAAAGAAAGCAGAGGAAUGAUGAGCGGCUCCCGAAGUCGUAUCUCCUGCGUAGUAUAUCCACACAGGGACAUUCUCAGUGGCGAGCUGGAGCGGCCAUGCUAUUAUGGGGCCAAGGACGCACACGAGAGGCCGGAAUGUCAGGAGCUCAGGCACAUCAAAAGAGAGCUG
rnacentral:sRNA from 1 species